GCCGGGGUGGCCGAGCGGCCUAAGGCGGUGGGCUCGAGACCCACUGGGGGCAUCGCCCCCCGCGCGGGUUCAAAUCCCGCCCCCGGCGCCA
rnacentral:tRNA from 1 species